rnacentral:misc_RNA from 1 species
GAUGAAGAACGUAGCGAAAUGCGAUACUUGGUGUGAAUUGCAGAAUCCCGUGAACCAUCGAGUCUUUGAACGCAAGUUGCGCCUCAAGCCAUUAGGUUGAGGGCACGUCUGCCUGGGCGUCACAUAUCGUUGCCUGAUGCCAGUUUCCUCGUGAUGGGUGACUGUGCAGGGCGAAUGAUGGCUUCCCGUGAGCAUUGUUGCCUCAUGGUUGGAUGAAAAUUGAGUCCUUGGUAGGGGGCGCCGUGAUAGAUGGUGGUUGAGUGACGAACGAGACCCAAUCAUGUGAGACCCCUACCGAAUUUGGCCUUCAUGACCCACAUGCGUCUUUGGAACGCUCAUGACGAGACCUCAGGUCAGGCGGGGCUACCCGCUGAGUUUAAGCAUAUCAAUAAGCGGAGGA